rnacentral:rRNA from 1 species
UACAGAGGUCCCAAGCGUUGUUCGGAUUCACUGGGCGUAAAGGGUGCGUAGGCGGUCGGGUAAGUCUGAUGUGAAAUCUCACAGCUUAACUGUGAAACUGCAUUGGAUACUAUUCGGCUUGAGAGUUGGAGGGGGGACUGGAAUUCUUGGUGUAGCAGUGAAAUGACGUAGAUAUCAAGAGGAACACCAGUGGCGAAGGCGAGUCCCUGGACAACUUCUGACGCUGAGGCACGAAAGCGUAGGGGAGCAAACAGG